UGCCAGUGAUAAACUGGAGGAAGGUGGGGAUGACGUCAAGUCAUCAUGGCCCUUACGACCAGGGCUACACACGUGCUACAAUGGCAUAUACAAAGAGAAGCGACCUCGCGAGAGCAAGCGGACCUCAUAAAGUAUGUCGUAGUCCGGAUUGGAGUCUGCAACUCGACUCCAUGAAGUCGGAAUCGCUAGUAAUCGUAGAUCAGAAUGCUACGGUGAAUACGUUCCCGGGCCUUGUACACACCGCCCGUCACACCAUGGGAGUGGGUUGCAAAAGAAGUAGGUAGCUUAACCUUCGGGAGGGCGCUUACCACUUUGUGAUUCAUGACUGGGGUGAAGUCGUAACAAGGUAACCG
rnacentral:rRNA from 1 species